CAGUAGCCGCGGAAAUACGUAGGGUGCAAGCGUUAAUCGGAAUUACUGGGCGUAAAGCAUGCGCAGGCGGUUAUGUAAGACAGUUGUGAAAUCCCCGGGCUCAACCUGGGAACUGCAUCUGUGACUGCAUAGCUAGAGUACGGUAGAGGGGGAUGGAAUUCCGCGUGUAGCAGUGAAAUGCGUAGAUAUGCGGAGGAACACCGAUGGCGAAGGCAAUCCCCUGGACCUGUACCGACGCUCAUGCACGAAAGCGUGGGGAGCAAACAGGAUUAGAUACCCCAGUAGUCCCUGUCUCUUAUAC
rnacentral:rRNA from 1 species